GACGAACGCUGGCGGCGGGCUUAACACAUGCAAGUCGAACGGAAAGGCCGUGCUUGCGUGGGGUGCCCGAGUGGCAAACGUGUGAGUAACACGUGAGUAACCUGCCCUUGACUUUGGGAUGACUUCAGGAAACUGGGGCUAAUACCGGAUAGCAGCUGCUGCUGCAUGGUGGGGGUUGGAAAGUUUCGGCGGUUGGGGAUGGACGGGCGGCUUACCAGCUUGUUGGUUGGGGAGUGGCUUACCGAGGCAUUGGCUGGUAGCCGGCCUGAGAGGGUGACCGGCCACAUGGGGCCUGCGGUACGGACCAGAGGGCAACGGGAGACAGUAGGGGGGAAUAUUGCACAAUGGGCGGGAGCGUGAUAAAGAGACGUCGGGUGCGGGAUGACGGCCUGCGGGGUGGGAACCGCAGUAGCUUAUGACGAAGCGGGAGUGACGGUAAUGGGUGAAGAAGCACCGGCUAACUACGUG
rnacentral:rRNA from 1 species